rnacentral:rRNA from 1 species
CAUUAUGCCUGGAAUGGUUUAUGUUCCAAAUGAUUUAUCGCCGUAGGAUGGGACUGCGGCCUAUCAGUUUGUUGGUGAGGUAAUGGCCCACCAAGACUAUUACAGGUACGGGCUCUGAGAGGAGUAGCCCGGAGAUGGGUACUGAGACACGGACCCAGGCCCUAUGGGGCGCAGCAGGCGAGAAAACUUUGCAAUGUGCGAAAGCACGACAAGGUUAAUCCGAGUGGUUUCUGCUAAAGGAACCUUUUGUCAGUCCUAGAAACACUGAUGAAUAAGGGGUGGGCAAGUUCUGGUGUCAGCCGCCGCGGUAAAACCAGCACCUCAAGUGGUCAGGAUGAUUAUUGGGCCUAAAGCAUCCGUAGCCGGCUCUGUAAGUUUUCGGUUAAAUCUGUACGCUCAACGUACAGGCUGCCGGGAAUACUGUAGAGCUAGGGAGUGGGAGAGGUAGACGGUACUCGGUAGGAAGGGGUAAAAUCCUUUGAUCUAUUGAUGACCACCUGUGGCGAAGGCGGUCUACCAGAACACGUCCGACGGUGAGGGAUGAAAGCUGGGGGAGCAAACCGGAUUAGAUACCC